UUGCACUAUGCAUCGAAGGCUAUGUCGAUUACUGUGGCAUAGUCUUUUAGCAAAAAAGUGCAGAAAUAGAGAGCUGUUAAAUCAGCAAGCGGCCAGACAACCGUCGGAAUAGAUCCACAGGUGAAGCAGAGUUUUUCAUCUGCUUUCAGCUACUAAAUCUAUCUUACAAGU
rnacentral:snoRNA from 1 species